rnacentral:rRNA from 1 species
GACGAACGCUGGCGGCGUGCUUAACACAUGCAAGUCGAACGGAAAGGCCCUGCUUUUGUGGGGUGCUCGAGUGGCGAACGGGUGAGUAACACGUGAGUAACCUGCCCUUGACUUUGGGAUAACUUCAGGAAACUGGGGCUAAUACCGGAUAGGAGCUCCUGCUGCAUGGUGGGGGUUGGAAAGUUUCGGCGGUUGGGGAUGGACUCGCGGCUUAUCAGCUUGUUGGUGGGGUAGUGGCUUACCAAGGCUUUGACGGGUAGCCGGCCUGAGAGGGUGACCGGCCACAUUGGGACUGAGAUACGGCCCAGACUCCUACGGGAGGCAGCAGUGGGGAAUAUUGCACAAUGGGCGGAAGCCUGAUGCAGCAACGCCGCGUGCGGGAUGACGGCCUUCGGGUUGUAAACCGCUUUCGCCUGUGACGAGGCGUGAGUGACGGUAAUGGGUAAAGAAGCACCGGCUAACUACGUGCCAGCAGCCGCGGUGAUACGUAGGGUGCGAGCGUUGUCCGGAUUUAUUGGGCGUAAAGGGCUCGUAGGUGGUUGAUCGCGUCGGAAGUGUAAUCUUGGGGCUUAACCCUGAGCGUGCUUUCGAUACGGGUUGACUUGAGGAAGGUAGGGGAGAAUGGAAUUCCUGGUGGAGCGGUGGAAUGCGCAGAUAUCAGGAGGAACACCAGUGGCGAAGGCGGUUCUCUGGGCCUCUCCUGACGCUGAGGAGCGAAAGCGUGGGGAGCGAACAGGCUUAGAUACCCUGGUAGUCCACGCUGUAAACGGUGGGUACUAGGUGUGGGGUCCAUUCCACGGGUUCCGUGCCGUAGCUAACGCUUUAAGUACCCCGCCUGGGGAGUACGGCCGCAAGGCUAAAACUCAAAGGAAUUGACGGGGCCCCGCACAAGCGGCGGAGCAUGCGGAUUAAUUCGAUGCAACGCGUAGAACCUUACCUGGGUUUGACAUGGAUCGGGAGUGCUCAGAGAUGGGUGUGCCUCUUUUGGGGUCGGUUCACAGGUGGUGCAUGGCUGUCGUCAGCUCGUGUCGUGAGAUGUUGGGUUAAGUCCCGCAACGAGCGCAACCCUUGUUCACUGUUGCCAGCACGUUAUGGUGGGGACUCAGUGGAGACCGCCGGGGUCAACUCGGAGGAAGGUGGGGAUGACGUCAAGUCAUCAUGCCCCUUAUGUCCAGGGCUUCACGCAUGCUACAAUGGCUGGUACAGAGAGUGGCGAGCCUGUGAGGGUGAGCGAAUCUCGGAAAGCCGGUCUCAGUUCGGAUUGGGGUCUGCAACUCGACCUCAUGAAGUCGGAGUCGCUAGUAAUCGCAGAUCAGCAACGCUGCGGUGAAUACGUUCCCGGG